ACUUAAGGUAAAAGUUUAAAAACAAAGUAACGUUUUACAGCUAGCUAAACAAUCGAAUUUAGUACACUUUCGUACAGAAAGAUGGUUGACACUGAAAGAACACAAGUAUACGUAGAAUACUGUGGUAGCUGAGGUUACUUCGGCCGAUACAAACGGUUAGCGACAUUGAUUGCAAAGACCGUCCCAUCGGCAAAUGUGUCCGGCAAGCAAGGGAGAAGCACUUCUUUUGAAGUCAGCAUUAACGACAAGUUAGUCUUCUCCAAGCUGGAAAGACAUUUUUUUCCUGACGAAAAACAGAUUUUGGAAGAAGUAAAACAAGCGGAGAAUGGUAAACCUGUCAAUAAAGUGACAGCUGUCAAUCAAAGUGGUUGUUGUAAUAUAUUAUAAAAGAUCUAGAUAUAUAAAAAUAAUGGAGAUUUAGAAUUUGAACAUAGGGUUUAUUUAUUAUUAUUUUUAUGACAACAGAACAUGGUGCAAAAUAUGAAUGAUAAAUUAUGGUAAAAUUUUAAACCAGCUAUAAUUUUGAUAUGCUCUGAAAACAGAAAAUAUUUUGUAAAAUAUUAUUGUUAAAUCCAUGUUCAUUCAUUUCUUGCUUCACUUUAUCUAAAUA